rnacentral:rRNA from 1 species
UGCGUAGGCGGCUUUCUAAGUCGGAUGUGAAAACUCUGGGCUCAACCCAGAGCCUGCAUCCGAAACUGGAGAGCUUGGGUUCUGGAGGGGAAAGCGGAAUUCCUGGUGUAGCGGUGAAAUGCGUAGAUAUCAGGAGGAACACCGGUGGCGAAGGCGGCUUUCUGGACAGAUACCGACGCUGAGGCACGAAAGUAGGGAGGGCAAC